UGAGGAAUAUUGGUCAAUGGGCGAGAGCCUGAACCAGCCAAGUAGCGUGCAGGAUGACGGCCCUAUGGGUUGUAAACUGCUUUUAUGUGGGGAUAAAGUGCGUGACGUGUCAUGCAUUGCAGGUACCACAUGAAUAAGGACCGGCUAAUUCCGUGCCAGCAGCCGCGGUAAUACGGAAGGUCCGGGCGUUAUCCGGAUCUAUUGGGUUUAAAGGGAGCGUAGGCUGUCUAUUAAGCGUGUUGUGAAAUAUACCGGCUCAACCGGUGGCUUGCAGCGCGAACUGGUCGACUUGAGUAUGCAGGAAGUAGGCGGAAUUCAUGGUGUAGCGGUGAAAUGCUUAGAUAUCAUGACGAACUCCGAUUGCGCAGGCAGCUUACUGUAGCAUAACUGACGCUGAUGCUCGAAAGUGCGGGUAUCAAACAGG
rnacentral:rRNA from 1 species